CCUACGGGAGGCAGCAGUGGGGAAUAUUGCACAAUGGGGGAAACCCUGAUGCAGCGACGCCGCGUGAGCGAGGAAGUAUUUCGGUAUGUAAAGCUCUAUCAGCAGGGACGAAAAAAAGACGGUACUUGACUAAGAAGCCCCGGCUACCUACGUGCAAGCGGCCGCGGUAAUACGUAGGGGGCAAGCGUAAUCCGGAUUAACUGGGGGUAAAGGGGGCGUAGACGGCAAGGCAAGCCAGAAGUGAAAGGGCAGGGCUCAACCCUGUACAUGCUUUUGGAACUGUGGUGCGAGAGUGCAGGAGAGGUAAGUGGAAUGCCUAGUGUAGCGGUGAAAUGCGUAGAUAUUAGGAGGAACACCAGUGGCGAAGGCGGCUUACUGGACUGUAACUGACGUUGAGGCUCGAAAGCGUGGGGAGCAAACAGGAUUAGAUACCCGUGUAGUC
rnacentral:rRNA from 1 species